rnacentral:rRNA from 1 species
UCCUACGGGAAGCAGCAGUGAGGAAUUUUUCACAAUGGACGAAAGUCUGAUGGAGCAAUACCAUGUGAACGAUGAAGGUCUUCUGAUUGUAAAGUUCUUUUAUUUAGGAAAAAAAGCUUGAAAGGAAAUGUUUAAGCCUUGAUUGUACUGAAUGAAUAAGUGACAGCUAACUAUGUGCCAGCAGCUGCGGUAAAACAUAGGUCACGAGCAUUAUCCGGAUUUAUUGGGCGUAAAGGAAGCGUAGGCGGACAAAUUGAUCUAUUGUUAAAGGCACUUGCUCAACGAGUUGUUUGUGAUAGAUAUCGUUUGUCUAGAAUUAGUUAGGAGAUACUGGAAUUCAAUGUGUAGCGGUGGAAUGCGUAGAUAUAUUGAGGAACACCAGAGGCUAAGGCGAGUAUCUAGGACAUAAUUGACGCUGAGGCUUGAAAGCGUGGGGAGCAAAUGGGAUUAGAUACCCCAGUAGUCCACGCCGUAAACGAUGGGUAUUAGGUAUUUGGUUUAGGACUGAGUGCUGUAGCUAACGCGUUAAAUACCCCGCCUGGGUAGUAUAUAUGCAAAUAUGAAACUCAAAGAAAUUGACGGGGACCUGAC